GUUUCAAUCAAUUUCCCAAACAUUAACCCCAAACCUCCACAGACUCAAAGUUUGGAGUGAAGCUGCUGCUGCUUCUUCUUCUCCAACGCUUGAGAGUAGAGACCAGAGAGGAAGUCACCGUCACGGAGAGAGGCAGAGAGCAGAUCAGUAGAGCUUCUUCUUCUCCGACGAUUGAGAAAACCCGCCGUCCUCCGUCAGAGAGCAGAGCUUCUUCUUCUUCUCCUCCUCCGCCGAGCCUGCUGCCGCGCCAUCCUGUUCAUGGAAGAAUCAUCUCUUGCAGUCUGAGAUUAAUCAAUAAUUUUGUAGAAGAAAAGAAGAUACCCGAGCUAUUGAAGACAUUUCCAAAUGCAUCGAAGUUUCUCAAGACACUUGUGGCUGGUUUUGAGGUAUGCAAUUCUCAAUUUGGAAGUUAUUCAAGCAGCAAUCUCUUUGGCCAAACAGGAAGGUCUUCUUGUUUCUUUGGAUUUGGCCAGUUUUGAGAUGGUGAGGAAAUUUAAGCCACCACUUAUGAAGUUAUUGGAGUCUGGCAAUAUAGACCUCUGUUUUGCCAAUCAGGAUGAAGCAACGAAACUUCAAUUAACAUGACUAACUAUACAAUCAUGGUAGUUUGGUUCACACUGCAGGAAUUUGUUCUCAAGCCAUUGCCUCCCAAUAUAGUGCAUAUCAGGAUCUGAUUCAUGAAGCUUUCUAAAGAAAGCUAGUGUUCUCAUUGCUCUUGCAAUGGCUGCUGGCACUGGAGGGGUACAAUGAUUGCUAUAUUCAUAGUGCUAUGUUUUGCUCAUAUUAUUGUAGAUUCUAGAUUGGCCAUCAAUAGCAUUUUUAAUGACUUUGAAGGUCUGGCCAUAAUAAAUAUGGAAGUUCACAGCAUCCUCCACCUUUGAGAAGCUGCUCACUUUUGUUGGGGUGGUCCCUCCACAAACACCUCCACAACAGCUCAAGACCCAAACCAAUGCCAAGAGAGAGAACAAGGCUUGAAGCCAAGAACUACAAGGAGUUGAGUCCAUGAAGGUGAAUGAAUGAUAAAUUAUGUUAAGAGAAAAGUUGUGAAGGGGUGUGGGGUUGAAUAAUUAAGAAAUGAUAAAUCUAACUACAUCUUUCUAUAUGGUCCUGAAAUCCUAUAUCAUAUGAUGUCCUUUGAGACUGUAUUUGUGAUUUGGUUGUAGCUUCUCCUGUGGAGGAUUACUUUUUAUACAUUGAUGAUCAGAAAAAUCCUGAAAAGGAAGAAGCUGAGAAAAUUACACAACCAAUUUUAGAUGCUUUUGGUGAAGACUGAAGACUAUUCUAUUUGUUGCCAAGUAUUGAGAAGCAGCCCCCACAUCAAAAAAUUUGAAAAGUUGGAAUAAAUAUGGUUGUUUGAGACGGAGAUUGCGGCCGCGGCCGUGGCCGAGACCGAGGCCGAAAGGGGAAGCCUAGGUUAUUUAGACUUGGAUGAUUCUGACGAUCUUGAUGACUCGGAUGAUUAUUUAGACGAGUAUGAGUAGGUUAUUUAAUUACUUUGCUUUGAAUAUUUUGUAUUAUUAGUGGAUUUCAAUUUAAACGAAUAUAAGUCUAAGUUUAAUUAUUUA